UAGAUAACUCGAAUAUCACAUCUUCAGUGUUCGAAAUCUGAUGAGAUAUUCACGUUGUCUAAA
rnacentral:pre_miRNA from 1 species